UUGCCUAAUCUAAUAAAUUAUAUUUUUCUACAAAAAAAUCUGAGCUCUGACCUGAUUCACUUUAGAAAACACGUUAUUCUUUAUUUUGUAGCAAUCUGCCCGGUCAGACGAGACAUUUGAUAGACACACUGAGAGGUUACGAGGUAAGGCGAGGCCUUGUUUUCUCAGUAAUGAUACAGCACAGGGAUGGGAGAGGUAACGGGACUAUGGUCUCUUCCUUUAGGGUCUCAACUUUGAAGAGGACUGGAAGCUUUUGACUAUUCUCAUGGGCAUGAAUGACAUCUGUGAUUACUGCAAAGAUAAAGUCUGUCUUGGUCUUUUAUGUUUAAUUCAAUAGAAAAUCUCUCUCUAUAUAUGGAAUAUUGACUCUUCUAUUACCUCUGAUGAAUCUCUGUUCCUUCCAGGCUCUUUUUUCAGUCGAUAACUUCAUCCACUAUAUGACCGUCUCGUUGGAAAUGCUUAUGAAUGAGGUUCCCCGUAUGAUUGUGAACGUGGUUCAGAUCCUCCCCAUGCAGACUUUGAGGGAGGUGCAGAAGCCCACCCCAGGGUGCUUGCUCCAGCGGUGAGCACUCUCUUUCUCUCUCAGAAAAAGUUCAGCUCUGGCUUGCUUGACACUUCUUGAACUUUUUACUUUUUAACUUUGAUUUAGGUCUUUCUGCUCAUGCCUGAUAGAGCCAGUAGCCAGAUCUCCUGAACUGCGGGAGCUGGUGGAGGUCAAUCUGGAAUUCCAGGUGCACUUUACUUCUUUCAUGUUAUAAGAUUAUGUAUUAUGUAAGGAAAGAUGAUAAAUUCUUCUUUCAUUUGGUUGCCACAUUAGAAGGAAUAUGGAAUCUUUUUUAAUCCCUCUAUGCAUCAUUAAAAAAAUCCUAUGUUUUUUAGGAAUAACAUGUUCCUUCUGUACAGCAGACUCUGAAUGUUAGGCUGCACAAAGAAGCUCGUCUGUAAAACACCUGCAGAAUCUUGAACUGCACACUCUGUUGUAUGUAAGAGCUAUCGGAGAUGAGAUUUCUAGGUCAGAAUAUGAGGAAAAACUGCCAUAAAUAUACAUGCACUGCUUAAAAAGACAGAAAGGAAUACUUUUUAAUCAGAGUAUAGCAUCAAGUCAGCUAAACUUCUGGGAUAUUGAUUAUUGAUCCAAUCAGUUAAGUAGCAGAGAGGGUUGUUAAACAGUUUCAGCUGCUUUAGUGUUAAUGAAAUUAACGAAAGGUGCACUAGAGGGGCAACAAAGAGACAACUCCUAAAACAGCAAUGGUUUUACAAGUGGAGGUCACUCCUCGUCUUUUUUCCUAUGUUUUCACUAGUUUAGCAUUUGGCUAGGGUCAGUGUAACUACUGGUACAUAAGGUGAUACCUGAACCCUGCAGAGGUUGCACAGGCAGUUUCCUGAGUCUCCCAGCAGAGUCUCAAGAGCAUGGAGGAGAUUCCAGGAGACAGGCAGUUACAG
rnacentral:lncRNA from 1 species